rfam:Prevotella pleuritidis F0068 contig00010, whole genome shotgun sequence.
CUGUGAGUUAAGGGGUGCCCUCAUAACGUUGGGCUGAGAUUAGACCCUCUGACCUGAUCCGGGUAAUGCCGGCGUAGGGAAAAGGAAACAUAAAAAG